UGGGGAAUUUUGGACAAUGGGGGCAACCCUGAUCCAGCAAUGCCGCGUGAGUGAAGAAGGCCUUCGGGUUGUAAAGCUCUUUUGUCAGGGAAGAAACGGUAGUAGCGAAUAACUAUUACUAAUGACGGUACCUGAAGAAUAAGCACCGGCUAACUACGUGCCAGCAGCCGCGGUAAUACGUAGGGUGCAAGCGUUAAUCGGAAUUACUGGGCGUAAAGCGUGCGCAGGCGGUUGUGUAAGUCAGAUGUGAAAUCCCCGGGCUAAACCUGGGAAUUGCAUUUGAGACUGCACGGCUAGAGUGUGUCAGAGGGGGGUAGAAUUCCACGUGUAGCAGUGAAAUGCGUAGAUAUGUGGAGGAAUACCGAUGGCGAAGGCAGCCCCCUGGGAUAACACUGACGCUCAUGCACGAAAGCGUGGGGAGCAAACAGGAUUAGAUACCCAAGUAGUCCCUGAGCGGGCUGGCAAGGCGCAU
rnacentral:rRNA from 1 species